rnacentral:rRNA from 1 species
CAGUCGCCGCGGGAAUACGUAGGGUGCAAGCGUUAAUCGGAAUUACUGGGCGUAAAGCGUGCGCAGACGGUUUUGUAAGUCUGUCGUGAAAUCCCCGGGCUCAACCUGGGAAUGGCGAUGGAGACUGCAAGGCUAGAAUCUGGCAGAGGGGGGUAGAAUUCCACGUGUAGCAGUGAAAUGCGUAGAUAUGUGGAGGAACACCGAUGGCGAAGGCAGCCCCCUGGGCUAAGAUUGACGCUCAUGCACGAAAGCGUGGGGAGCAAACAGGAUUAGAUACCCCAGUAGUCCCUGUCUCUUAUAC